UGCAGGCUGGUUCCGAGGAUUCAUCCUGAAGAAUCCAAAUAUCAAGGGAAUCUUCCCAUCCAGCUACAUCCACUUGAAGAAUGCCCACGUUAAGAAUAAAGGGCAAUUUGAGACAGUCAUCCCUGUUGAAGACUCCGUCAUCACAGAGAUGACAUCAACGUUGCGAGACUGGGGU